rnacentral:rRNA from 1 species
UACGUAGGGUGCAGGCGUUAAUCGGAAUUACUGGGCGUAAAGCGUGCGCAGGCGGUUUCUUAAGUCAGAUGUGAAAGCCCCGGGCUUAACCUGGGAACUGCGUUUGAAACUGGGAGACUUGAGUGUGGCAGAGGGGGGUGGAAUUCCGCGUGUAGCAGUGAAAUGCGUAGAUAUGCGGAGGAACACCGAUGGCGAAGGCAAUCCCCUGGGCCUGCACUGACGCUCAUGCACGAAAGCGUGGGGAGCAAACAGG